UGUCGGAUUUCCGUAGUUUUGAUCAUUUUAUCCUGUACCAUUGAAAGCGAUAAAUGCAUCUUAACUGCGGUGAUCUGAUA
rnacentral:pre_miRNA from 1 species